GAUGAACGCUGGCGGCGUGCCUAAUACAUGCAAGUCGAGCGAAUGGAUUAAGAGCUUGCUCUUAUGAAGUUAGCGGCGGACGGGUGAGUAACAAGUGGGUAAACUGCCCAUAAGACUGGGAUAAAGCCGGGAAACUGGGGCUAAUACAGGAUCACAGUUUGAACCGCAUGGGUGGAAAUUGAGCUGCGGCUUAGGCUGUCACUUAUGGAUGGACCAGCGUCGCAUUAGCUAGUUGGUUAGGUAACGGCGCACCAAGGCAACGAUGCGUAGCCGACCUGAGAGGGUGAUCGGCCACACUGGGACUGAGACACGGCCCAGACUCCUACGGGAGGCAGCAGUAGGGAAUCUUCCGCAAUGGACGAAAGUCGGACGGAGCAACGCCGCGUGAGUGAUGAAGGCUUUCGGGUCGUAAAACUCUGUUGUUAGGGAAGAACAAGUGCUAGUUGAAUAAGCUGGCACCUUGACGGUACCUAACCAGAAAGCCACGGCUAACUACGUGCCAGCCGCCGCGGUAA
rnacentral:rRNA from 1 species